GUUUAGAACGUCGUGAGACAGUUCGGUCCCUAUCUGCCGUGGGGCGCUGGAGAACUGAGGGGGGCUGCUCCUAGUACGAGAGGACCGGAGUGGACGCAUCACUGGUGUUCGGGUUGUCAUGCCAAUGGCACUGCCCGGUAGCUAAAUGCGGAAGAGAUAAGUGCUGAAAGCAUCUAAGCACGAAACUUGCCCCGAGAUGAGUUCUCCCUGAGACUUUAAGUCUCCUGAAGGAACGUUGAAGACGACGACGUUGAUAGGCCGGGUGUGUAAGCGCAGCGAUGCGUUGAGCUAACCGGUACUAAUGAACCGUGAGGCUUAACCUUACAACGCCGAAG
rnacentral:rRNA from 1 species